rnacentral:rRNA from 1 species
GUCCAGCCGCCUCAGUAAUACCGGCAGCCCGAGUGAUGGCCGAUCUUAUUGGGCCUAAAGCGUCCGUAGCUGGCUGCGCAAGUCCGUCGGGAAAUCCACUCGCCCAACGAGUGGGCGUCCGACGGAAACUGCACAGCUUGGGACCGGAAGGCUCGAAGGGUACGUUCGGGGUAGGAGUGAAAUCCUAUAAUCCCGCACGGACCACCGAUGGCGAAAGCACUUCGAGAAAACGGAUCCGACAGUGAGGGACGAAAGCUAGGGUCUCGAACCGGAUUAGAAACCCUAGUAGUCC